rnacentral:rRNA from 1 species
UACAGAGGGGGCAAGCGUUGUUCGGAAUUACUGGGCGUAAAGGGCGCGUAGCGGCCGCCUAAGUCAGAUGUGAAAGCCCCGGGCUCAACCUGGGAAUUGCAUUUGAGACUGCGUAGCUAGGGUGCGGAAGAGGGAAGCGGAAUUUCCGGUGUAGCGGUGAAAUGCGUAGAUAUCGGAAGGAACACCAGUGGCGAAAGCGGCUUCCUGGUCCAGCACCGACGUCAGGCACGAAAGCGUGGGGAGCAAACAGG